GAUGAACGCUGGCGGCGUGCCUAACACAUGCAAGUCGAACGGAGUCGUUUUGGAAAUCUCUUCGGAGAUGGAAUUCUCGACUUAGUGGCGGACGGGUGAGUAACGCGUGAGCAAUCUGCCUUUAAGAGGGGGAUAACAGUCGGAAACGGCUGCUAAUACCGCAUAAAGCAUUAAAUUCGCAUGUUUUUGAUGCCAAAGGAGCAAUCCGCUUUUAGAUGAGCUCGCGUCUGAUUAGCUAGUUGGCGGGGUAACGGCCCACCAAGGCGACGAUCAGUAGCCGGACUGAGAGGUUGAACGGCCACAUUGGGACUGAGACACGGCCCAGACUCCUACGGGAGGCAGCAGUGGGGAAUAUUGCGCAAUGGGGGAAACCCUGACGCAGCAACGCCGCGUGAUUGAAGAAGGCCUUCGGGUUGUAAAGAUCUUUAAUCAGGGACGAAACAAAGGACGGUACCUGAAGAAUAAGCUCCGGCUAACUACGU
rnacentral:rRNA from 1 species